rnacentral:snRNA from 1 species
GUGCCAGCUUCAGCAGCACAUAUACUAAAAGUGGAACUAUACAGAGAAGAUUAGCAUGACCCCUGCACAAGGAUGACAUUCAAGUUCAUGAAGCAUUCCUUAUUUCU